UGCAUUGGCGGGCCCGCCUCGGCCACCGGCUCCGGCUGGUGAGCGCCCGCCAGAGGACCCCAAACUCUGAAAUUUAGUGUCGUCUGAGUACUAUAUAAUAGUUAAAACUUUCAACAACGGAUCUCUUGGUUCUGGCAUCGAUGAAGAACGCAGCGAAAUGCGAUAAGUAAUGUGAAUUGCAGAAUUCAGUGAAUCAUCGAAUCUUUGAACGCACAUUGCGCCCCUUGGUAUUCCGGGGGGCAUGCCUGUUCGAGCGUCAUUACAACCCUCAAGCUCUGCUUGGUAUUGGGCGUCCCCGGCGACGGGGUGCCCUAAAAUCAGUGGCGGUGCCGUCUGGCUCUAAGCGUAGUAAAUCUCUCGCUCUGGAUGCCCGGUGGAUGCUCGCCAGAACCCCCCAUUUUUACAGGUUGACCUCGGAUCAGGUAGGGAUACCCGCUGAACUUAAGCAUAUC
rnacentral:rRNA from 1 species